rnacentral:miRNA from 1 species
CUCGGAGAGUGGAGCUGUGGGUGU